rnacentral:rRNA from 1 species
UACGAAGGGGGCUAGCGUUGCUCGGAAUCACUGGGCGUAAAGGGUGCGUAGGCGGCCUGCUAAGUCGGACGUGAAAUCCCUCGGCUCAACCGGGGAACUGCGUCCGAUACUGGUUGGCUUGAAUUCGGGAGAGGGAUGCGGAAUUCCAGGUGUAGCGGUGAAAUGCGUAGAUAUCUGGAGGAACACCAAUGGCGAAGGCAGCUCGCUGGGACGUGACUGACGCUGAGACGCGAAAGCGUGGGGAGCAAACAGG